CUAGCGUCAGAAAGAUGUUGUGAGGACAGCCAGGAAGAGCUGGAACCUGAGGUUUAAUCACAGGCUCCUCACCCUCUGCUGAUGGGCAGGUGUGUGAGCUCCAGCAUGGAGCACCACAGUACUAGUUCAGAGGACGGUGAUAGGGCAAUUGGGCAGCCUGUGAGCUGGGGCAGUGUAGGCAGAGGAGCAACUGUAUCAUCGCAGAAGCUUCUGCCUUCACCCAUCCCUCCAGCUCUGCAGGACAGGUAGAGAGCACAGCGUCUGUGGAGCACUAGACCUAAAGCAGGCUGCAUGGGGAGGACACAGGACAGUGACAUCACAGGAUACGCCUCCCAUCAGGAAAAUCAAGGCCCAGAACUCGCUCAGCUCUUCCCCAGGAGGACCAAGCUCUGCAUCAGGUGCAGUGCUGCCUGCCCCACUGGGCCAUGGGCCCCGGGCUCCUCUGCUGGGCGCUGCUUUGUCUCCUGGGAGCAGGCCCAGUGGACACUGGAGUCACCCAAAGUCCCACACACCUGAUCAAAACGAGAGGACAGCAAGUGACACUGAGAUGCUCUCCUAUCUCUGGGCACAGCAGUGUGUCCUGGUACCAACAGGCCCUGGGUCAGGGGCCCCAGUUUAUCUUUCAGUAUUAUGAGAAGGAAGAGAGAGAGAGAGGCAACUUCCCUGAUCGAUUCUCAGGUCACCAGUUCCCUAACUAUAGCUCUGAGCUGAAUGUGAGCGCCUUGUUGCUGGGGGACUCGGCCCUGUAUCUCUGUGCCAGCAGCUUGGCACAGCCCGGCAGAGUCACUGACAUUCUGUAUGUAAACUUCCUGCCUUAG